UUCUUGUUUUUAAAAGUGCUGUAUGAAAUUAUAACAUGCAUUUUUUUUUAUUCUAUUAUUUUAUAAAUAAAAAGUAUUCAUAUUUUGCAUGGAGCCUAGUGGUAAUUCCAUUCUAUAUAACUUCAUAAUCUACUCAACUGGAUUUGGUUAAAGUUGGAAUGGUUAUUUACAAUGAGUAUGUAGGUAGAAAAUUGCCAGAUAUUAAAACUUGAUGAUUACUGAAUAUUUGUAUAAUCCAUCAUAAUUUACUAUUUGGGUCUCACUACUCGGGGUGACAUGUGAAUCGUAUUAUAUGUGUGUAUGAGAGGAAAUGGUUUAUGUUUUAACUACUGCUUGCAUUUUGGUUUAUAUCUUUUGACUACUGAUUGCAUUUUGAAUAUUUUAACUUUCAUAUGUUCCUAUGGGGUAAUUUGCUACCCAAGAUGCAUAUUUUGUGCAGUAUCUUAAAGUGUAUUAAUUCUAAAAAUAAUUAUUUUCAGGACAUUGUCACUGGCACCACAGUGCACAAUAUCCCCGAAGAACAGUCAGUUUACAUAAAUGGUUUGCUCUCUGUGGAUGAAAAACUUCUCAGGGUAACAUGCUAUCCCAGGCAUGAAUGUGUUUUUCUAUAUGGGGUAACAAUUUACCCCAAUCCCAUGUUAAUACAUUGGGGUAACUUGUUACCCCAAUGCAAUUUCUGUAUAAAUGACAGACCUAGACUUGUUUGGCUACUUUGGGUGGAUGCAUCUGAAAGGCCAGCAUUCAUUUACACCUCAUUUAUGUCCACUUCAGUUAUCCAUGGUAACUAAUAGAUGGCCAUCCUCCACUCUGCUUUUCCAGAAGAUGUGGUAAUCCCUUUUGCUAACCACUUUGUUUGCAGGCUUCAAGGUCAUCAAAACACCAUGUCCUUUGCCAAAAAAAAACAACAAAAAAAAAAUCUUUGUCGCACCAAAUCCACCACUGAUCUCUUUUCUCAUGGCAAAACUCUGUCUCACCUGCCCCUUCCAUAACAUAAAAGCUAGUUUUCCCUGUCUUUGUUGGAAGUGAGGACAAGGAACAAAGGGACAGCAGAGAAGAAAUAGAACAACAUCAUACUACAAUGCAGCAUAUACUGUGGAGUCCCCUUCAAUGUCCAGGAUGAGAAGGCAGCGCAUAGUCAGUGCUGAAGCCUGUCUUGCACAGGUAACCGGGGAUGAAAAUAACACAUCCACUGAGGAAAUCUUAUCCCAAGGCAGUGAGGAUUCUGACUUUGUUCCAGACAUGGGAGAUGGUUUAGAGCAAGAAGACCAUGUCUCUAUAGAAGCUUCAUUAAGCUCAGAUGAGGAGGAGUUGGUACCACAAGCAAAAGUGAUGCCAACACUUCUGGUGGGAAAGGAAAUAGGAUCAGCCCAGGGCGACCAUGGAAGACCAGGGAGAGCUACAGUAGGAUGUGGAGAAGAACCACUGACACCACCCUCAGAAAACAUUUCAGGUGAUGAUACCUUUAAAGGAAGGAAUGGCAGAGUGUGGGGGGAAAGUUGACAACUAAUACAUCAUCAGAGAACAGCCAAGGGCAUAGUUCAUGAAAGUGCUGGGCCAACAAGAGAAAGUAAUAAAAACACAUUGGUGGAAAGGCUCUACCUUUUUCUCUCGCAAGAUAUCCUGACUGUUAGCAUAAGAGAAACAAACAGAGAGGCAGAAAGAAGGUUCAGGAAAUGGAAUGAUAGCCAUCCUGAAAAUAGAAAGGAGUGGAAAAAGCUAGAUGAAACAGAGCUGAAAGUCUACAUUGGCCUCCUACUGCUGAGUGGUCUAAGCCACAGUCACCACAAGUCACUGGAGGAGUUGUGGAAGCAAUGCACCAGGCACCCCUGCUUCCAUGCCACCAUGAGUUUAAAACAAUUCUGUCAAAUCACCAACUACCUGAGAUUUGACAACAAACUAACACAUGAGGAAAGGAGAGCUGUGGACAAGCUUGCUGCCUUCAGAGAUACUGGGACACAAUUUGUGGAGCAGCUCAGGGAAUGGUAUAUUCCAGGAAUACACCUGACAAUUGAUGAGCAGCUCAUUGCAUUCAGGGGUCGCUGUCCCUUCAGGUAGUAUAUGCCCAGUAAGCCUGCUAAAUAUAGCUUGAAAAUUUGGUGGUGCUGUGAUGCAGCAACAUCAUUCCCCCUGUCUGGAGACAUCUACCUAGGCAAGUAACCUGAAGCUCCAUGUCAACUUAAUCUUGGUACCCAGGUCAUUGAAAAAUUGGUUCAUCCCUGGUACAAGACGGGAUGGAAUAUUGUGGGUGACAAUUUCUUUGCAAGUACUGACCUGGCAGAAAGACUGCUAUAGCAGGGCUUGACCUAUGUGGGCACAAUUCAGAAAAACAAAGCUGAUAUCCCAAGUGAAAUUCAAGCAAAUCAAAGAAGAAACCUUUUCAUCCAUUUUUGCUUUUAAUGGGGACUCACACAAGUUUCCUAUGUUCCAAGGAAGUCCAAAGUUGUGCUGUUGCUGUCAAGCAUGCGCCAUGACCUGUCAGUGAGUGGAGAGCAAAGAAAGCUGGACAUCAUCUAUAACUACAAUAAAAACAAGGGUGGGGUGGAUAACCUUUACCACUUUGUCUGCAUGACCACCUGCAGACAGAAAAUCAACAGGUGGCCAAUGACACUAUUUUUCAAUAUGCUGGAUGUGGCUGCCAUUGCCAGCCUCAUCAUUUGGCUAGGCCACAAUGCAAACUGGAAGCAAAGAUCACAUUUAAAAAGAAAGCCCUUUUUUUUUUUUUUUUGGCAGGAGCUUGGAGAACAGUUGAUUGACAGACAAAUAAAGCAAAGAUUGAUGGAUAUAAGUUGUCUGUCUAAGUCCAUCAAGUCUGGUAUGACUGCCCUAAAUUACAAAUUGCCACAACUUACCUCAGUAGAAACUUCUGCAAGUAUGAGUGGACCUUGUGCUUUUUGUCCAAGGGCAGAUGACCACAAAACCUGGAAAUGAUGUAAAGAUUGUAAGUGAUUUGCUUGUGUGCACCACAGUACAUCACUGCUGCUUUGUUAGGAAUGCUAUAUUUAGUUAAAACAGUUAGGAAAUGUUUUUAGAAGUAAUUGUUAGUUUGAAAACAGUGUGAACUGCAUAUUUAGCAAAUUGUUCAUUCACAUUUGGAAAUUCUAAAAAAGUUUAAAUUUUGUUCAUAGUUCUAGUUAAAUAAUAUUUUGGGUUCAAAUCAUCAUAAAUACUCCUUCAAACAGUCUGUAAGUUUAAUAAAUAGUUUUGGGUACAUUUA